AUACUCACUCGAUAUGACGACAUUUCAUUUGCGCUUUGCACUCAAUGCUGACGGAUGCUCGAAUGUCUACUACUCCUGCCGGAGUUCAUAGAACAAAUAUGGCGGACGACGAUGUUGCCGCCCAAAUGCCGAAAAACACAUUCGCCAGGUCACCGUCUGGUGCAAGCGCAGGGCACUGGCUUCGAAUCCUUUGUUUUGCCACAUUCGGCAGCUGACCAACGGACUUGAUUUUCGCCACUUCUAUGAAAUUUCAAAUGGUAUUGAAACCACAGAAAUAAAUAUCAAAACUACAACUGUGAUUGAAGAUCAAUAAUGUUGAAUAUUUGAUCACGUUAAAUGUUGUUAGAGACAAAACAUGCAUCUUAAGGUAAAAGUUGAUUAUGUGUAUACAAUACGACAAUGUUGUAAGUAAGGACUUUUUGCCUAAUUUAAGUAAGGAUAGAGGAGUGGGUUUUCAUUACACAAUUAUUUGACCAAUUGGAUUGGUAUAUAGUAUUGUGAAUCCAACACCACGUCAUUAUUAAUAUUCAACCAUCAUUACACACAUGUUGGAAAACUUUCUCCACCGUUAAACCCUGAGUUAGGUUGUUAAUUCUAGGGUUUAUUAGAAGGUUAUUGUUUAUUCAUCGCUAUAAUUAUUAGCCAUGACCAGUGUUGAAGAUUAUACUACUUCAACGCUUAAUUAUUUAUAUAUUGACUAAAUCUUCACUUGUCAACGAUUUCUAAGAUUUUCCAAACCUCAUAUAUUAGAAGUUGGAGUUAAUAUAUCUAAUGGAUGGUCCUUAAGAUGAAGUGUUUAAAAUUGGAAAUAUAUUUAAACAUUUAGAUGCAAUUGGAUAUUUUUGUAUCUAUUGCUUUGUGUUAGCAAAGAGGUUGGUGGAGUGACUGGUGAUCAAUCCCUAAUCAACCCCAUCUAAGUUGCUGUAGAUUCAGACAUGAAGUUAACUAGUGAAAACAAAUUAUACUACAUACAAAUUAUUUUGGCUCUUUAGUGUAGAGCCCUAUGGGCUUGAAGUUGUCAAUUUUUUUUUAUGUAACAUUUUAUUUUCAACACAAUUUUAAAUCUGUUUGCAUAGUGUUUAUUCAACACAAAUGCCUUCGGUUACUUAUCAAACCUAUAAAUGUAUUUAUUUUGAAAAUAAUAGAAAAUAAUUUGUUAACUAACAAACUUGAAAAUAAUCAAUAUACACAUAACUAUUUGACUUUAUGCUAUCUAUGUAUCAAUAUAUCUACAAUGUUGUUUAAAG